CCUACGGGAGGCAACAGUGGGGAAUAUUGCACAAUGGGGGAAACCCUGAUGCAGCGACGCCGCGUGGGUGAAGAGGUAUUUCGGUAUGUAAAGCUCUAUCAGCAGGGAAGAAACCAACCCUUUGGGGUGGCUGACGGUACCUGACUAAGAAGCCCAGGCUAACUACGUGCCAGCAGCCGCGGUAAUACGUAGGGGGCAAGCGUUAGCCGGAUUUACUGGGCGUAAAGGGAGAGUAGGUGGCAAGGCAAGUCGG
rnacentral:rRNA from 1 species